ACGCCCCGAAGCCUUCGAGCAGCAGUCGGGAUCCGAGUGCGGAACUACAUUUCCCAGCGGGCUUUGGGUCCAGGGGUCUCUUUCCUUUGGCCAGGGCGUCGGCGUCGUCACUGUCUCGGGGGCUGGUAAGCUUUUCAAAAUGUCCAAAGAAUCUUGUGGAAAAAGAGAGAAGUCUCGGAGAAAAGGCACCACCUCAUUACCCAACUUUGAUGAAGAAGAUGAGAAAGAGAAAAAAACUUCAGCAAGUUCUACUAGUUCAGCUUGCUCUAUAAGAUCCAUUUCAUCAGAGAAGAGAAAACUGAAAUCAGAUCAUACAGACAUUCUGUACUGUAAUAUAAAAAGAAGACAAGAACUGAAAAGACUGAAUGUAGACACGACGACUCCAAGAAAAAGACCAAAUAUUAAUCCUUCAUCCCAAGGACCUGUUAAACUCCAAGGAGCAUUAAAUUCAAAUGUUAAUCAAAUUAUUUCACAGAGUCCUUCUUCAAAUGGAACUAAAAAAGACAUAAGUAAAAGUGUAGAUUUUAAAGUUAAUGAUACCAAAUUGACAAAUGUUAGGAGUAAGCUUGACCAUGGAAUUAAAAACCUUAGCAGUCCUAAGAUUGCCAAAGAUGUGAAACCUAAAGCUGAAGUCCAGGCAAGUGAAAAAAAAUGGUCUCACUCGCUUGCUCAGAGGGAGAAGAUGAAAGAACUCAAGAAAGAAAGGCACAAUAAAUUUAGAGAAAGCUCUGAAAAAUAUGUUUUGGAAAAAUGCAAGAGAAUCCCAUUUUCUCAGGAUUGUAAUUCCAACAAGUUAAGUAAGGAACCCCUCGAAUCUAGAAGAAGGAAGAUCAGUUUCAAAAUCCCAGUAAAAUCCCAUGAUCCUCAACAGAAGCUUGUAGAAGAAAAUGUCUUCAGUUUAGAUUCUAACAAGUCAAAGACUAAGCAGAAGAAAAAAGAAUGCCUGGAAAGCUCUCAGGUUUCAUUAAAUUUGACGAGGCACAGAAGUAAACAUUUAUUUUCAGAUUCCGCAUGUAAACAGACUGUUUGUGAGUGGAAAGGAAAAUAUGAGCAUCAAGAAAGUAAUGAUUCAAGUUCUAGUGAAAAUCUAACCCAGAGUUUUGAAGCACCAUGUUCUUCAGUGUCACUCGAAAGUAUUCAAGAUACAGAUCAAGAGAUGCAGAUAGUUGAAGAGCUUCAUGCUGCACGUGUGGGAAAAAGUGUAGAUUCACCUGUGGUGCUGCCUUCUGGAGAGUUAACAAGCAUGGAGAUUGAUUUAGUGGAAGACGAUAGACAUUGCUCUGCUGGUAUACCCUCAAAUACUGCUUCAGACAAAAAGCUUCUAAUUGUUAUUGACACAAAUAUUCUGAUGAAUCAUCUCAAAUUUGUUAGAAUUUUGAAGACAACAGAAAUACCAGGCUUUGAUAGACUUGUGUUAAUAAUUCCCUGGGUUGUUGUGCAAGAGCUAGAUCGUAUGAAGGCAGGAAAACUACUAAAAUAUGCCCAGCAAAAAGCUAUACUUGCAGUUCAUUUCAUCAAUGAAUGUCUCAAAAAUCAAGAUAGAAAUCUAUGGGGUCAAUCAAUACAACUUGCAUCUCAAAAACUUUAUGGAUUUAGUGAUGAGAACAAUGAUGAUCGAGUAUUAAAAUGCUGUCUUCAGUACCAGGAAUUAUUCCCUUGUUCUCUUGUUAUACUGUGCACGGAUGACAGAAAUUUAAGAAACAAAGGCUUAAUAAGUAGUGUGAAGUCGCUCAGUAAAGAAGAAUUGAGUGCAGAGUUCUUAAACUUAUCUCUGAACACAGAAACAUAUCACCAGCCUUGUAUAUCUAAGCAGCAAUUGAAAGCAGAAACACCUUUGGAAGAGAGCAAUGAGGAAGAAUCUCCAGAUUCUGGUCUACCCAUUCUACUUGAAAGCAUAGUAUCUGAUCUUGAAAAAUCUCUUGGAACAGCUCUAUCUUCAAUAUUAGAAACAGAAAUGAAACUUGCUUUUGGAAACCUCUGGGUGGAGAUGCUGUACUUGAAACCACCAUGGACUCUAAUGCAUUUAUUACAGUGCUUUAGAAAACAUUGGUUGGCUGUAUUUGGAUUAGUUAUGGAAAAGAAUUUGCUUUUAACCAUUGAGAGCUUAUAUGAAAAUCUCUCUAAAGCUAACAAUGAAGUGGAUUUUACAACCGUGAAAUUCCUGCUUCAGGAUUCUCAGAGUCUGUUACAUGCUUUCAGUACAAGGUCAAAUUAUGAUGGUAUUCUUCCACAGGCCUUCGCUCAAGUAAACAAGCUACUCCAAACAUUUACAGAGGUCAAGGCAAAACUUAAUCGGAACCCUUCUGAAAAUGCAGCGUGUAAAAAGCAAGAAGAUACCUCUCCAAUGAAGUCUAAUGACCAAGAAAUCACCACUUUCUCAAGUGCCCAUCUUCCCCCACCCAACAGGCAUCAAGAAAUCUGGUCUAUCCUGGAGAAUGUUUGGAUUACAAUAUAUCAGAACAGCACAGAUGUGUUUCAGAGAUUGGGUUCAAAUUCAGCUCUGACUUCUUCAAAAAUAGCUUCAUUUGAAGAAGCAUUUAUAUAUCUUCAGAAGUUGAUGGCAGCUGUGAAGGAUAUUCUUGAAGGAAUUCAAAGGAUUUUGGCCCCCAACAGUAAUUAUCAAGAUGUCGAGACUCUCUAUAACUUCCUAAUCAAGUAUGAGGUAAAUAAAAAUAUCAGAUUCACCGCCCAGGAACUUUAUGAUUGUGUUUCACAGACUGAGUAUCGGCAACUCCAGACUUAAGCCUCUCCAUCCAAUUACUAUAUAAUCCAGAUGAAAACUUGAAAAUGGAACAUGGCAACACAUGGAAGUCUGAUUGCUUUUCCUCCCAUGUUCUCAGCGAUGUUACCACCAUCCACGCUGUUCCUGAACCGCCCUGGACGUUCCCUUUGCCCCCACAUCCAUUAGGCGGGUCUCUGAGACUUCCCACCAGCCUUUUUGUUUCUCUCCCUAUUCGAGCCUCAGCAACCAGCGAUACCCUUAAGAUUAUAGCACGUUCUCCUAGUGCUCUUUCUUUUAUAUGCCCUUCUCUCUUAUUAUGUGACUUUUAAACUUUGAACAGUGACACACACGUACACAUGAGUAUAUGUAUGUAGAGAAACAGAAGUUUCCUGCAACUAUACUUACAACCCAUGGGCAUUCUGAUGUUUUCUAUUUUAUUAUUAUUUUUUUUAAAAAGCUAUUCGAUGACCCCCUAAAUUGAGGACUUAUGACCUGCAGUAUAAAAAAAACACUGCCUAAUCCAUUUUACAAAAAAAACAAUCGGAAGGUCAUUGUAAAACCUUGAGCAUAUCAAGGCAGGUCCCUUCCUUAAAACCGGUCAACAGUUUCCCACGCAUUAGCCUUAGGGUAAAGUGCAGUAUGCUUAGUGUGGCCUUAAAUGCUUCAGCCUGCUGUGUUCUCCCCUUCCUCAGCAAGUCCUCUUGUCUGGAAAGAGCACCUCCCUUUCCCCUAGAGCUAACUCCCCACAGUAAACAAAUCCUUUAGGCCUAAAAGCCAUUUCUUCAGUGUGGCUUUCACUGACUUCCUACCUUUACUGGAUGACCUUCCACACCUAAUACUUUUAUUGCAGAAAGAACCUUUUAAAAUACUGGUCAGUCCCUCAACUCCUCAAAAGCCUACAGAGGCUCCUUAUUUCAUUCAGAAUAAAAUCCAAGGUCCUUACAGUGACCUGCAUCGUCCUGCACGGUCUCCCUCCCUGCCUCUUUGCCCUUACUUCCCACGGCCCUUCCCAUGACCCCAAAUUUACUCUGCUCCAGCCACCCACACUGGCCUGCUUCCUAUUCCUCCAGGUUUGCCAGGUACCCUCCUACCUCAGGACCUUGGUACUUGCUAUUCUCGCUUCCCGGAACACCUCCCAUCCCCAUGUCGAGAUAUUUAUCAGCCGUCUCGUCACUUCUGGCAUUCUCUCAUUCCUGCCAGUUCUCACAAGUGUCAUCUGGUCAGUGAGGUCUUCUCCCACCACCCUAUUUAAAGUUGCAUCCCCACUUUGGCACCUCCUAGUUUCUUCUCUGCUGUAUAUUAAUUUAUUUUACUUACUUAUUUUGCUUAUUAUCUAUCUCCCUCCACUGAGAUGUAAGCUUUAUGUUAAUAGGAUAUUUUUUUACUCCUGAAUUCCCAGCACCUGGAAUAGUACUUGGUUUAUGAUAUGUGCUCGAUAAAUUUAUUUGAAUAAAUGAAUGAGUCAAUAGAUAAA